GGCAGAAGAUGCAAGCGCAGGUUUUAAAGAAGCAGCAGUGAUGAGCAUGCAGCAGUCUACACCAAAAUCCCUUCUAACUGCACAAGACAGACACUGCUAUUUAUAUGAUGCAGAAAGCCAGGAGACUCUAUCCACGGAUGCAACUUCUGAUCUCUAAAUGCUCAACUUGUCAGUGCCCUGCUCUGCAGUGGCAUGGGGAAAGGCAGUGCUUAUUCCAAAGUGUGAAGAGAGAUCCACUUUCCAGGAGAAUUUGCAGCAGGACAUAGGGCAGCUGGGCAUAGAUCUACCUGCACACAGAGAAAUGAAGCCCCAUUAAUCUGGUUCUCCUUAAGCUCUGGGUCCUUUUUAUACCAAUUCAUAAUGAGGACUCUUUUCUGUGAAGGCUUCCAAUAUGACACAUUUCAUGUCACUAACCCACCUGAAUGGACGCAGUAUAGUAUCUCUUUAAUUUGUGGUUCGUUUGCACAGAAGAACACAAUUUUUGUGAAUAAAGCAACCAGUGCAAGUAAGAUUUGUUAUGCAGUUAUAAAAGAUGUAUAAGGUAAAUAAUGUAGGCAAUGUAGAUAAAACUAAUGUAGGCAAAUGGAGGGAAGAAAACAACAAAUACCAGUUACAAACUUCUAACAGACCACUGUAGUUUGAUAUAUAAAUGCAAAUAAAUAGAAAUUAAUUUCUAUUUCACUCGCCUAUCAGUUCUGUUAGCUGCCAUUUCAUUGCUUGUAUUAUGGCUCUGCUACAAUAUAUGGGGUCUUCAAGGAGAGUGUAAUAUAGUAUUAUAAUAUUUCAGUGUUUUAUAAUGAUAAUAUACUGAAUUAAAAAGUGAACUUAAAGCAAUCUAUUUUAGUUAUCCAAUCUGCAGUUUUCAGUUCUGAGUCUUUAGAAUUCCCGAUCUAACUGUAUGUGCUGCCGACCAAUCCCACUAAUGUCCCUCACACCUUUGUUUUCAAAGUAGGCAUAUGUUUUUAAAAAAGUUAUAAGAUUAC